GACGAACGCUGGCGGCGUGCCUAAUACAUGCAAGUCGAACGCACUCUCGUUUAGAUUGAAGGAGCUUGCUCCUGAUUGAUAAACAUUUGAGUGAGUGGCGGACGGGUGAGUAACACGUGGGUAACCUGCCCUAAAGUGGGGGAUAACAUUUGGAAACAGAUGCUAAUACCGCAUAAAACCUAAACACCGCAUGGUGUAGGGUUGAAAGAUGGUUUCGGCUAUCACUUUAGGAUGGACCCCGCGGUGCAUUAGUUAGUUGGUGAGGUAAAGGCUCACCAAGACCGUGAUGCAUAGCCGACCUGAGAGGGUAAUCGGCCACACUGGGACUGAGACACGGCCCAGACUCCUACGGGAGGCAGCAGUAGGGAAUCUU
rnacentral:rRNA from 1 species